rnacentral:rRNA from 1 species
GAUCAUGGCUCAGGACGAACGCUGGCGGCGUGCCUAAUACAUGCAAGUAGAACGCUGAAGAGAGGAGCUUGCUCUUCUUGGAUGAGUUGCGAACGGGUGAGUAACGCGUAGGUAACCUGCCUUGUAGCGGGGGAUAACUAUUGGAAACGAUAGCUAAUACCGCAUAACAAUGGGUGACUCACGUCAUUUAUUUGAAAGGGGCAAAUGCUCCACUACAAGAUGGACCUGCGUUGUA